AAGGUCAUCUUAGCUUGUCUCGUGCCGUUAUUUCUUCUCUUGUGGUCUCUCCUCUUUCUGAAACUAUAUCUUAUAAGUAUCACAUUUCUGUCAAAUAACCUCGAUUGAAUCACUUAGCUUCUUCGGAUGACAGUUGACUGGUCGCUUUGCUCCGUCACUGCUAAACUAUUCUGCAAGAUUUACUGUUAUACUGCAGAUGAUAGUUCUAGAACGUAUGCUGCAAAAUUUAAGAAAAUCAUUAGGAAUUUUUGCCACAUUACUCAUAAUUAAUUAUUUAGUAUUUGAUUGUUGACUGCUUUUGUAGCAUGACAUUUCGGCAGUAGUUGACAGAAGGAGAUAUAUCCAUGUCUAGAACUUGACUUGCUGAAAACUUUGUAAAAUUUUCCUGUUUCUUGAGUUUCAAAAGAAGUCACUGGCAGGACCAGGAUUGAAUUUUGGAAAUAUCUAUGUACUCCCUCUAUCCC
rnacentral:lncRNA from 1 species